rnacentral:rRNA from 1 species
CCCUUAGAUGUUCUGGGCCGCACGCGCGCUACACUGAUGAACGCAACGAGACCACCUGUACCGAAAGGCAUGGGUAAACUUGUGAAAGUUCAUCGUGAUGGGGAUAGAUUAUUGCAAUUAUUAAUCUUCAACGAGGAAUGCCUAGUAAGCGCAAGUCAUCAGCUUGCGUUGAUUACGUCCCUGCCCUUUGUACACACCGCCCGUCGCUCCUACCGAUUGAAUGGUCCGGUGAAGCGUUCGGACCGUGGCCUUUGGACGGUUCGCCGUCUGUUGGCUGCGGGAAGUUCGUUAAACCUUAUCAUUUAGAGGAAGGAGAAGUCGUAACA